CCUACGGGAGGCAGCAGUGAGGAAUAUUGGACAAUGGGCGCAAGCCUGAUCCAGCCAUGCCGCGUGCAGGAAGAAGCAUCUAUGGUGUGUAAACUGCUUUUGUACAGGAAGAAACACUCCCUCGUGAGGGAGCUUGACGGUACUGUAAGAAUAAGGACCGGCUAACUCCGUGCCAGCAGCCGCGGUAAUACGGAGGGUCCGAGCGUUAUCCGGAAUCAUUGGGUUUAAAGGGUCCGUAGGCGGUUUAAUAAGUCAGUGGUGAAAUCUGGUCGCUCAACGAUCAAACGGCCAUUGAUACUGUUAGACUUGAAUUAUAAGGAAGUAACUAGAAUAUGUAGUGUAGCGGUGAAAUGCUUAGAUAUUACAUGGAAUACCAAUUGCGAAGGCAGGUUACUACUUAUGGAUUGACGCUGAUGGACGAAAGCGUGGGGAGCGAACAGGAUUAGAUACCCUGGUAGUCCACGCCGUAAACGAUGGAUACUAGCUGUUCGGAGCAAUCUGAGUGGCUAAGCGAAAGUGAUAAGUAUCCCACCUGGGGAGUACGUUCGCAAGAAUGAAACUCAAAUGAAUUGACCGGNUGAGAGAGACGAGACGACGACGAGGGAGGAGG
rnacentral:rRNA from 1 species